UCGAACGCUUUGUCUUUAACUGAUAUGAAGAGCUUGCUCUGAUUUGAUUUUAUCUGACAAAGAGUGGCGAACGGGUGAGUAACACGUGGGUAACCUACCUCUUAGCAGGGGAUAACAUUUGGAAACAAGUGCUAAUACCGUAUAAUACCAACAACCGCAUGGUUGUUGGUUGAAAGAUGGUUCUGCUAUCACUAAGAGAUGGACCCGCGGUGCAUUAGCUAGUUGGUAAGGUAACGGCUUACCAAGGCAAUGAUGCAUAGCCGAGUUGAGAGACUGAUCGGCCACAAUGGGACUGAGACACGGCCCAUACUCCUACGGGAGGCAGCAGUAGGGAAUCUUCCACAAUGGGCGCAAGCCUGAUGGAGCAACGCCGCGUGUGUGAUGAAGGGUUUCGGCUCGUAAAACACUGUUAUAAGAGAAGAACGGCACUGAGAGUAACUGUUCAGUGUGUGACGGUAUCUUACCAGAAAGGAACGGCUAAAUACGUGCCAGCAGCCGCGGUAAUACGUAUGUUCCAAGCGUUAUCCGGAUUUAUUGGGCGUAAAGCGAGCGCAGACGGUUAUUUAAGUCUGAAGUGAAAGCCCUCAGCUCAACUGAGGAAUGGCUUUGGAAACUGGAUGACUUGAGUGCAGUAGAGGAAAGUGGAACUCCAUGUGUAGCGGUGAAAUGCGUAGAUAUAUGGAAGAACACCAGUGGCGAAGGCGGCUUUCUGGACUGUAACUGACGUUGAGGCUCGAAAGUGUGGGUAGCAAACAGGAUUAGAUACCCUGGUAGUCCACACCGUAAACGAUGAGUGCUAGAUGUUCGAGGGUUUCCGCCCUUGAGUGUCG
rnacentral:rRNA from 1 species